rnacentral:sRNA from 1 species
GGUUUCUACUGGCUAAUGAAACAACACACCAGUGCCUAAACACUCAUAUUAAGAACAUAGGUGUUGUUCUUGAUUUGGAUUCACUAAUGGGUAAGCAACAGAAAGUAGCCAUGGAAAUUGCAGUCCAAGAGUUCAAUAGCUUCAGUUGUUCAAAGCUGGAAUUGAAUAUUCAAAAUUCCAAGGGGAUUUCGGCUAGAGCAAUAUCCACUGCUUUGAAUCUCACACAGAGCAAGCAAGUGCUUGCCCUCAUUGGAACAAUAACACACAAUGAAGCAAUAAUUGCAAGUGAGUUAAAUGACACUAUAAAGAAUAUUCCUAUACUGUCUCUAACUUCCCCCAUAUCCAAC